AAUAAAAUGACUAGUAUUCUCAAUGGUACACGUUUCAUGUAUAUUGAGCCUCUACCUGCUGGAGAAAGUCUUCCAAAAUUUAAUACAUGUGCAGGUCUUCGUUGUAAAAUAUUGCACUUUGGACAGCCAAAGAACAACCACAUACUUCAAUGCACAAACUGUUGGAAAACAGGUCAUACAAAAUCAAUAUGUAAGAACGAUUCUUGCUGCAAAGUAUGUCAAAAGCCUGGUCAUUUACCGGGACAGAAAGAAUGUCCACACUAUGAAGUCCAGAAGCAUAUCGCUCCAUUCAGCGGAUCGCGAGACGUUCUGUCUAAUUUUUACCCGUGCGAAUUGGAUAUCUACGGCGUCAAACAUAAAUCCGCCGAACAUGCGUUUCAAUACACCAAAGCGAUUCGUUGUGGUGAUUUAGAUGCUGCGAGUAAAAUAACAGCUGCGGAAGACGCUCUCUCAGCUAUGCGACUCGGGAAAAAAAUUAAAACGAACGAACAAUGGAACGCCACUAAGGAGGCAGUGAUGGAAGAAAUUAUUGAAAAUAAAAGCGUGCAAGUAAAACUGUUUUAAGAAAAAAUACGAUCAGCUAAACAAUCUACCACGUUCGUGGAAACCACCUACAACGACGAAUGGGGCUCCGGUCUGGAUAGGACAGGGACCAUCAACACAAAACAAGAUAAAUGGCCUGGUAAGAACACCUUGGGAACUAUCAUUAAAAAAGUGGCGAAAAAAGUUCGCAAGAGAAAAUUAAGUGAUAACGCACCGAAAGCACAAAAACAAAACCGCGAACAAGCAAAGCAACGAAACAUCGUUGACAUGUUGAAAACAUUGCGUGCGGCAUCAGACAGUGAUGCAUCUGGCUGCAAUCCCGACUCCGAGAGUUCGGAAUCGGAGGGUGAGACCUAGGUCAGUUAAUCUGUAUUUUAAACUACAUAUGAAAAUUAUUGUUAUCUGUACUGUAGUUUACAUAAGAAAAAAUAGUUAAAAACGAAUGAACUAAAAGAACACAUGUCAAUGUAUCGAUUAUUAUUACUAUUUGUAUUUUUUUUCUUUUUAAUAUUUUGAAUUAUGGUAUUUAUAUAUAAACACAUAUAACACAAAGUAAUACAAAACCUUUGAGAA
rnacentral:sRNA from 1 species